UUUCCGUAGGUGAACCUGCGGAAGGAUCAUUACCGAGUUAGGGUGCUUCUCAGCGCCCGACCUCCCAACCCUUUGUCUAUGAUACCUUACAGUUGCUUCGGCGUGCCGAGGAGCUCGCUUCUCGCCUGGGACCCGUGCCCGGGAGCGCGCCCGCCGAUGGCCUCAACUUAACACUUGAACCCAAACCCUGUCGUCUGAAAACUUGUGAUUACUAUAAUCAAAAACAAAACUUUCAACAACGGAUCUCUUGGUUCUGGCAUCGAUGAAGAACGCAGC
rnacentral:misc_RNA from 1 species